GAUGAACGCUGGCGGCGUGCCUAAUACAUGCAAGUCGAGCGAACGGACGAGAAGCUUGCUUCUCUGAUGUUAGCGGCGGACGGGUGAGUAACACGUGGAUAACCUACCUAUAAGACUGGGAUAACUUCGGGAAACCGGAGCUAAUACCGGAUAAUAUUUUGAACCGCAUGGUUCAAAAGUGAAAGACGGUCUUGCUGUCACUUAUAGAUGGAUCCGCGCUGCAUUAGCUAGUUGGUAAGGUAACGGCUUACCAAGGCAACGAUGCAUAGCCGACCUGACAGGGUGGUAGGCCACACUGGAACGGAGACACGGUCCAGACUCCUACGGGAGGCAGCAGUAGGGAAUCGUCCGCAAUGGGCGAAAGCCUGACGGAGCAACGCCGCGUGAGUGAUGAAGGUCUUCGGAGCGUAAAACUCUGUUAUUAGGGAAGAACAUAUGUGUAAGUAACUGUGCACAUCUUGACGGUACCUAAUCAGAAAGCCACGGCUAACUACGUG
rnacentral:rRNA from 1 species